GACAGAGGGUGCAAACGUUGCUCGGAAUUACUGGGCGUAAAGCGCGUGUAGGCGGAUCGGAAAGUCGGGCGUGAAAGCCCCAGGCUCAACCUGGGAACUGCACCCGAAACUCCCGGUCUUGAGUGGUGGAGAGGGAAGUGGAAUUCCUGGUGUAGAGGUGAAAUUCGUAGAUAUCAGGAGGAACACCAGUGGCGAAGGCGGCUUCCUGGACACCAACUGACGCUGAGACGCGAAAGUGUGGGGAGCAAACAGG
rnacentral:rRNA from 1 species